GGUUUCGUGGUGUAGUGGUUAUCACGUCUGCUUUACACGCAGAAGGUCCCCGGUUCGAGCCCGGCGGAACCU
rnacentral:tRNA from 1 species